rnacentral:rRNA from 1 species
CGUAGGGAGCAAGCGUUGUCCGGAAUCAUUGGGCGUAAAGCGCGCGUAGGCGGCCCGAUAAGUCCGUUGUGAAAGUCAAAGGCUCAACCUUUGAAUGCCGAUGGAUACUGUCGGGCUAGAGUCCGGAAGAGGCGAGUGGAAUUCCUGGUGUAGCGGUGGAAUGCGCAGAUAUCAGGAGGAACACCAAUAGCGAAGGCAGCUCGCUGGGACGGUACUGACGCUAAGGCGCGAAAGCGUGGGAGCGAACAGGAUU